AUUGAACGCUGGCGGCAUGCCUUACACAUGCAAGUCGGACGGCAGCGCGGGAGCAAUCCUGGCGGCGAGUGGCGAACGGGUGAGUAAUACAUCGGAACAUGUCCAGUAGUGGGGGAUAGCCCGGCGAAAGCCGGAUUAAUACCGCAUACGAUCUAUGGAUGAAAGCGGGGGAUCGCAAGACCUCGCGCUAUUGGGGUGGCCGAUGGCGGAUUAGCUAGUUGGUGGGGUAAAGGCCUACCAAGGCGACGAUCCGUAGCUGGUCUGAGAGGACGACCAGCCACACUGGGACUGAGACACGGCCCAGACUCCUACGGGAGGCAGCAGUGGGGAAUUUUGGACAAUGGGGGCAACCCUGAUCCAGCAAUGCCGCGUGUGUGAAGAAGGCCUUCGGGUUGUAAAGCACUUUUGUCCGGGAAGAAAUCCCCUGCCCUAAUACGGCGGGGGGAUGACGUACCGGAAGAUAG
rnacentral:rRNA from 1 species